rnacentral:lncRNA from 1 species
GCAGCCAACACAAGCCAUCAGCCCCAUGCUCAGCUCCCAGCAGGCAGAGCGUUCAGAAGCGCCAGCGCCAUCAUCUUGGGAGCCUGCAGUCCACACACCGCUGACCUUACCUACUUCCUCUUUCCAGGUCGUAGAUUACAGACUCUCCUCUGGGAAAUUGCCCCCAGAUCUAACAGGAGUACAAGAAGCUGGGUAGAUUGGAAAACAGCACCGAAUUCCCCUGGAACUGAGGACGGAAGCCUUCCCAGUCCUGCAGCCACCUGCAGACUCUCACAAGCACGGUGCUCCCGGGAGAAGACCUUGCUACCCCAGGCCCAAGGCAGUCGAGAGAAAACGGGAAGCCCUGAAGGUUUUUCACCCCGGGGGUGAGAGUGUAUGAUCGAAGAUAUAUUUGAGGGUAAUUGUACAGAUAGUCCCAACUUAGCAUUGUUCAACUUUAUGAUGGUAUGAAAGUGAUGACAUUCAGUAGAAAUUGUACUUCAAGUGCCAAUACAAUCAGUUUUUCACUUUUGGUGCAGUAUUCAAUAAAUUACAUGAGAUAU